rnacentral:rRNA from 1 species
CCUACGGGAGGCAGCAGUGGGGAAUAUUGGGCAAUGGGCGCAAGCCUGACCCAGCAACGCCGCGUGAAGGAAGAAGGCUUUCGGGUUGUAAACUUCUUUUCUCAGGGACGAAGCAAGUGACGGUACCUGAGGAAUAAGCCACGGCUAACUACGUGCCAGCAGCCGCGGUAAUACGGAGGAUGCGAGCGUUAUCCGGAUUUAUUGGGUUUAAAGGGUGCGUAGGCGGGCUUUUAAGUCAGCGGUAAAAAUUCGGGGCUCAACCCCGUCCGGCCGUUGAAACUUGGGGCCUUGAGUGGGCGAGAAGA